UAUUUAACAAUUAAACUCGAUCCCAUCUAGCUACCAUUUGGUCCUCGAAUAAGAACGAAACAUUGAAAAAAAGUCUGGAUAAAAGAAAAAAAUAGAGAAUGAAGAACAGUUGACGAAAAGAAAAGAAAAAAAGACUGGAAUCACAACUUGAACAUCGAAUGACUGGAACUUGAAAAAGGAGGACAAAAAGCUGUAUAGCCCUUUCAACGUAUCGUUCCACGAUUCCGUCGUCGAAAGCCUUUGCACGAUCGUUUUUCCCGCGUUUUUUUCCCGCUCUCUCAUUCCUUCUACUUUCUUCGACCCCGUAUUACUCUUGUUUCGAGCAUUAAUUUCUCUCUCGCUAGUUUCUACCUCUCGACUAACCUUUUUUUUCUGUCCAAUAGAUGCCAUUUAUCACGA